rnacentral:misc_RNA from 1 species
CUAGUAACCGGGCUGCGUAUGUUAAGAGUACUUUCUAGUUACCAGACACUUUUAUUAAUAGGUUCACCAGGGGAUUGGCUGCAUAUUUUGUUAAGCAACUUCUAUAAUCGUGUUGGUAAGCUGUAUCAUUUUCCAGUUACCAUGCCGCAAACGUCAGAAUGGUUUUGAAUCUACACAGCUUUUCUGAAUAAUAUAUUCCCAAACUUUAGAUGCAAAUAUAGGAGUCCUGCAUUCAUAUUGGACUUUAGAAGUUGAGCUCCUUAUAUGGUCGUGGAUUAUAAAAUCUAUAGGAUCUGGGUCAAUUUUGGACUUUUUGUUGAAGUAUAUGAGGUGCUGUGUCAUGUGAUAAUUUUACUUGUAUAGUGCUAAUGUCUUGUAGAGUUGUUACUUGAGUCUUGAGGGAUGAACCUAAUGUUUGAAUACAAAUACCGGACAUCUAUAGUUGUUUUUCUUACUGUCUCUAACUCUCACUGCCCUCCUCUUCUUCUCCUUCACUUCCUCCUCCUCCUUAUCCAUCUUCUUGCUGAACAUAUAGUUCAAGAUCUGUUUAAAAUAGUUUAGCCAUCUGACUUGGAUGAUAUUCCUAUUGCCACUCUUGGUCGACUGAUGGUCUGUGGCCCUUAUCAUGAACCAUUACUGUGAUGCUUGAGUGCCCAGCCUCUCAUUCAUGCACUGGCAGCACAAAACAUAUUAAAGAGAGACUCUUUCUAGCCUGAUUCUGCAUGGUUUCCUGUGUCUGCUACAUGAUAUGAAGGUAUCCAUUGGCCUCCAAGCUUACUGCUGAUUGCUGACUCUUCCUAUACAUAAAACGAUGUUAUGUUCUUUUCAGUUCUGAAAGCAUCUGCAUCAGACUGCCUCUAUGACUAAAUCUGUCUUCUUCUGUGCCUGUUUUCUUCCUGGUGACAUAAUGCUGCUACAUCAAGAAUAAGAAACACUCUUGAUAUUUUGUUCAAUAAGCCUAUACCAUUUUCAUUACCUAUCUGUCCAUAUAUUUCCCCCGUUUGAUGGUCAAGAGAGUUCUGUAUCUUGACUGGUUCUCACUUGAUUAAAAUAUGAAUCUGCCGAACCUAAUGAGGUAGCUGAUACAUGCUUACCAUUUGCACACUUUGUAGUCUUAUACCAUGGCAAUGGGAUUUGCACAUCAUUGGUCAAGGUUCAAAAUGCAAUUACUGAAUGCAUUUGUUUCCUUCACUUUGCUAAAUACAUGGUUUAUAUAUGUUUUGUUCACUUUGCAAUAUGUUGCUGCUUUGUUUAUGAUCUUUUGAUUUUUAGGGCCUUGUGUGAAGUUCAGAAUUAUCCUACAGGGAGUUCAAUUAAUUGAUUUUAAUAUGCAAAUAACAAUUCUAAGAUAAUUGUUGCUUUUCAUUUUGGUGUACAGUGGUUGGAAUUUACGAUGUAUGGACUCUGGCAA